AUACGUAGGGGGCGAGCGUUGUCCGGAAUGAUUGGGCGUAAAGGGCGCGUAGGCGGCCCGGUAAGUCUGGAGUGAAAGUCCUGUUUUUGAGAUGGGAAUUGCUUUGGAUACUGUCGGGCUUGAGUGCAGGAGAGGGAAGUGGAAUUCCCAGUGUAGCGGUGAAAUGCGUAGAGAUUGGGAGGAACACCAGUGGCGAAGGCGACUUACUGGACUGUAACUGACGCUGAGGCGCGAAAGUGUGGGGAGCAAACAGGAUUAGAUACCCUGGUAGUCCACACUGUAAACGAUGAAUGCUAGGUGUAGGGGGUAUCGACCCCUUCUGUGCCGCAGUCAACACAAUAAGCAUUCCGCCUGGGGAGUACGGCCGCAAGGUUGAAACUCAAAUGAAUUGACGGGG
rnacentral:rRNA from 1 species